UCAUUUCUAGUUUAUAUAGAAUGUUAGUUUGUCGUGCUGAAGGAGGCUUUGAGCCGAAAUGGG
rnacentral:tRNA from 1 species